UGCCAGCAGCCGCGGUAAGACGGAGGGUGCAAGCGUUGCUCGGAUUCACUGGGCGUAAAGAGCACGUAGGCGGCUCGGUAAGUCUGAUGUGAAAGCCCUGGACUCAAUCCAGGAAGUGCAUUGGAUACUGCCGGGCUAGAAUGCAGGAGGGGUAAGCGGAAUUCCAGGUGUAGAGGUGAAAUUCGUAGAUAUCUGGAGGAACACCGAUGGCGAAGGCAUCUCUCUGGGUCGAUAUUGACGCUGAGGCGCGAAGGCGUGGGUAGCGAACGGGAUUAGAUA
rnacentral:rRNA from 1 species